GGACCUAGGGCUGAGGGUUACAUAAAAGCCCAGCGAAGCUCUGGGCCCAGCACCCCUAAGACCUGCCACCUGCCUCCACACCUUCGAGAGCCUCCUGCACUCCCCACUGGCACCAUGCUCAGGACGGCCCUGGUCCUCUCUGCUUGGUUCGGUCUGGCUGUGACUUACCCCAUCGCAUUCCAGGAAUUCAUACACAUUAUCAAUGACCCGGUGCUAUCUGCCGACCCAGAGCCAGUGGUUGUCCUGGAGCCUGAAGAGCCGGCUGUUGUCAUAGAGCCGCUCACUGGUGGAGAGCUGGUCAUUAACCUAGAGCCAAGUGAGGAACUAGAUUUAACCGCUGACCUAGAGUCCACCACAGACCUGGAGUCGACCACAGACCUAGAGUCGGCCACUGACCUAGAGUUGACCACAGACCUAGAGUCGGCCACUGACGUAGAGUUCUUUCGUGGUGGAGAAUUGACUACUGAAGCGUAUUUGAAGAACACACAGGCUUUUGAAUUGUCUACUGCUGUGGAAUCAAGCACCCUCAGCUUUGAGAAAGAAGCCACUGAGGCCACAGUUGACUACAAUUCAGUUCAGCCAGAGAGCUUUGCCAACAAAGAUUAUGAAGUUGUCACUGCUGCUUAUUUCGAUGAGCCCAUCCUUGUAGCAUCAGAUGAGCCCAUCACCUCAUUUGGAAACGACGAGUCCGUCUCAGUGCUUUUUUGACAUAUUCCUACCUACUCAUUGAUCCAAAAGGAACAUCAACAAUCACCUCUGCUCCUGCCUCAGCCUGGUGGCAUCUUUAGAAUCUGUCUCUUAGACUGCCUGGGGACUUGGAAAUAGGUUAUUGAAGAUUUAAAGGGGGCGACAAACAACAAGUCUCCCUCUCAACUUUGGUGUCAAUUGAGAAAUAGUCUCAGGAAUCACACAUAUUUAAGUGGAAGCAUUAGCUUUACCAUGAAUAAAACUGAACUGGAGAAACA
rnacentral:lncRNA from 1 species